CAAAUAUUUUCCCCAUAAAGACGCUACCACAGCAUCAUAGCUUGACCAGGUCUGGAUCCAUGAGAUUGAGCCACAGCAACAUUUCUGGCAUAGUGGAUUCCCACAAUUAUUACUUGGAAAACUUGAACAUAAAAUUAUACAUAAAUUCUCAUGUUUGGAAUAUUAGAAUUCAUUUUGAAUUUCUAGCCUAGCUAGCUUGUACCACAGUUUAAAAUUAUAUACUUUUUUGAGUUUAGCAUAGGAAGAAAAAGAGAGUAGAAAAACACACUUCAAGCUCAGUGUAAUUCAUUCCCUUAAGAAGCACCUUUGAACCCUUGGUUAGAAUAGCAUUCAUGUCUCUACUUCCUACACAAAUAAACAACCACAAAACAAAUAAAUAAAUAAAAUGGGAGCUCGAAAAACAACAUAUGUUACUAGGAAACGAUUUAUCUGCUUACCCAUAUCAACAGAAAGUAGUGACGAUGAACAAGCGGCGGUAGAAACGGAACGAGGAGAUGGAGAUUGGGCGGUGGCGGUGAUGAAGAGAGUUGUUUUAGAGAGGAAAGAGAGAGAUGAGAUCGAUUUGGGUAAGGAAUUGAGAGCCAAGCAGAUGAGGAGUCCAUGGAAGGGUGAUUUACAAGAACCACUGACCGCACGCGCUUCAUCCACAUACAACUCAUCUCCAUUCUCCGAUUUCCUGUAGCCCGAAAGUAUUACAUGUUCAUUUGAUGAAAAUAUAUAUUAACAUCAUCACAGCCGACAAGAACUGAAGAUUUAAGUAAAGCGGAAAUUUUCAGUUUUUUAUGAUAAUUUCAGAAAAACAAAAGAAAAAUUCAUCAGAUUUAAUUAAUUUAACCAAAUUCAGGAUUCAAUCAUUAUUGCAAAAAAGUGAACUGAUCAUUCAGAAUUUGAAAUAAUCCGUAGCACCUGUUUAGUAAUCGCAGAGCUUAAAACCAACAAAUGAAAAAAUAAAGGGAAAAAGAAAAAGGAAGGUUCUCACCAAUUUGAAGCGAUUAAUCAAAAUUUGAAGAGAUAGGUUCCCUUUUUUUUUUUUUUCCUUGAAUUGACCAAUUUCAGGCGUUUUUUCCUUUUUCAGAAGGGAGAGGAAUUGAGGCGAAGAAGAAGAGAUUAAGAGAGAGGUAGUUAGUACUUAACAUGAAGGAGAGGCGUGGUCGGGUCGUGGAGAGAUAGUGAGAUGUGGGCUUUACCAAAGAAAUGGACUCUGGAAGUUGGGAAUACAUAUGGUCUUUAAGAUUAUGGAUUUUUUUUUAUUUUUUUCAAAUGAUUAUAAAAAUAAUUGAAUAAAUGAAAUUAAAGGAUGAACACUGAAAUUAAAUAAGAUUUUUAUUUCUUUUCUAUUUUAUGGUAACUAUACAAAAUAGCACAUUUACAAUCCAUGUGUACCUAAAGAGCUACAUUAUCUCAAAAAAAGAAUCACACAGGUAAAAUAUUGUGCUCUUCUGUAACAUGACGUCUUAUGAUUUCAAUUAUGUUGUUAAAUCUCUCUCGUAGUCUGCUAAUUAAACGGUAAAUCUCUUCAAGUGAAUUAUAUAUUACUUUAGCGCAUAAGGAGGCCCAUAAAAUUAAAAUAAUCCAACCAAAAAUUGGAACAAGGAAAAACAGAAGUGCAACUAUGGCCGAUCCAACAGCAAAUAGGCCAACUUUGCUAAUAAUUGAAUUGAAGGAGCUCCAAGCUUGAAAGAUAGUUCCAAACCCAUAUGUGAAUAGACCAACAAGAAAGAUUGUUAAUAUAAAGUGUUUGUCUGUAUCAACCAAAGGCUUGAUUUGAACGAGGCCAAUUAAACUAGUUAUGGUGAAGGUGAAAACUUUGUGUACUGCAUUUAAAUUUUUCCUGAAAAGAAAAAUGAAAUAAAAAAAUUAUUAGAAGGCUUUAGCACAUUUCAAUUUAACUAUAUAUAUUUGUAAUUGAUAAGGAUAAACAGAGUUGCAUAACAAAGUUGAAAUAAUAGAGAAGUUAAACAAGUGUGCUUUGUCUUGCCAUGAACACUGAAAAACUUGAAGAUACAAUAAAAAGUUUGCAACCCAAUGUUUAAUGAUCCUUACCUUCCGAUUGGCAUUUUCUUUUAAAUUCUUCGUGCUUGUUAGAGAACGCAAGAAUGGUUGAGAACGCAAGAAUAGGAAGAUAGGAGAGAAGCUGCAAUGACUAGAGAAGUUGCAAUGAGUCCCUUUUAUAAAUAUUAUAUCCUGCGUGUAUCCUGCGUGUCUCUCCUCCCUCUCUUUUACAAUAUAGAGGAUUCCCUCUCUUCUCCUCCCUCUAUUUUGGAUAUAGAGGAUUUUCUCUUUUAGGUUAUAUAGGAUUCCCUCUUUUAGGAUAUAUUGGCCGUUGAUUUGCUGCUUCCAUUCAAAUUUUCCAAGCCCAACCUCAUUACCUUGUUGUUUUUUUUUUUUUUUUGACAUGACUCAUUAUCUUGUUGUUAGAAUGCAUUGAUACUAAUAAGUUAUAAAAACAGACGUCAAGACUUCUACACACGCAACGUGGGACAAUAUUCUUCCUUGGAAAAAAAAAAAAAAAAAAAAAAGAAUCCUGUUCCUACAGCUGGUUCUCUCACUUCUGCCUUAAUUAUUCAAUAAAUAAAUUUUCACUAUUAACUUUUUCAGUCUUUUGCUCUUUGCUCUCAUAUUUUGUCAUUAAAACAGUUAAUGACAAAAUAUGUGAACAGUGAAUGAACUGUUUAAUAAAAAGAGAUAUUGCCUUUCCAAUCCUAUUCCUACUGCUUUCUCUCACAUCUGCCUUAAUUCCUCAAAUUAUGUGUUUUUCUAUGUGAACAGGGAAUGCAUAACGACGACAAAACGAAUGAAAUCUUCACUUUCUAUUUAUGUCGUCGAUAGAUAGUGAAAAUAACAUUGAAUUAUUAGAUGCCUUAGUACUCGACUGAGCAAAGUCACUAACUGAGCCAAAUCUGAACUGAUUGGAAAAACUUAUUCAAAUAGAAAAUUUUCUAGAUCACAGACUUACCAUAAAUACAACAUUUGUAAUGGAACCAACUUCGCUCGUCACAAGACGUUGUGCAAAUACAACCUGGUCUACAAUCUCUGCAGUAGUCAGAUGUCUCUUCAAACCCAUCCUAAAAAUUGGAUUAUGCAUCAAGAAGAUGUACCUUGUAGAAAGUAACAAUAGCAAUGAUACAGAUACAAAUAAGAAAGAUAUAAAGCUUACAUGCCAGUGUAGGAGAACUGACAAUUCAUGGCACAGCCCACUUGACUUGAAACACAAACUGUCGUCCUACCUCUAUCACAAGGUAUAACGACUGUUUCAAUUACCAGUUCAUCAUCCAACCUAAUAAAAUCUGCAAGCGCCUGUGAGUUUCAAAACCAAUGACAAGAUAAUGCAACGGCUAAAAGCAAAAUAUCGAACCAGAAUAAAGUGACUUCGAGACCAAAAAUACAACAGAUAAUGGUUUUGGCUACCUUCUUAGUUCCAUCGGAUGCAGUACGAACAUCUUCCAGAUAUAUUGCCUUACUCGUGUUCACUCAACAUUUUCCUAAAAUCCUUAUUCAAACCUGAAUAAGGUUAUCAAAGACAAAUUCAUAAGGCUCAGCAUGUCUCUGUUGUUGGAAGAGAGAUUCAAUGUUGCACAUAGAUAGGGAAAUCAAAGGGAGAUAAAAUCAUUUAGCUCACUGACAAGGCUAUAAAACCAGACAACAGAUAGCAUUUCAGAGACAAGGUGGUGUAAGAAUAAGUUCAUCAACAUAAUGCGCCCAAAUAUUUUCCCCAUAAAGACGCUUCCACAGCACAUAGCUUCACCAGGUCUGAAUCCAUGAGAUUGAACCCAUUUCUGGCAUAGUGGAUUCCGCCGUCUACGGUGGCCGGAAAUCGACCAUAGCCGGAAUUGAGCAACAUUUAUACCAAAAUGCUCGAAAUCUUAUGGGGACUACGAUCGCGAGAUCCCCUUGGACUGGGCGUGCCUAUUUUGGCCGGAAAUGACCCCGACAGUGGCUUGCCACUGCCGUCCAUGGCGUUUCCGUCCGUUGAGCCCUGUCGCCGAGAUCAAUGGAAGAGAGAGAGAGAGAGACUCGCCUGGAAUUGAGGAGUCAAAUCGGUGGUCUCCUCGUGGAGUGUCUUCACCGGCGUCGACGGGAUUCGCCGAUAAACGUGUCGCGGCGGCGUUGAAGUAUUCUGGCUCGAUUUCUUCCACCCACGCACUCAAUCGCGCAACCUGAGGCUACAAUGAAGCUUCCCUCGUCGAGAAGAUGGAUUCAGGCUAUGGCUGCGCCUGAAUCCGUGGCCGUUUGGCCGAACAAGAAUUAUAUUUGAAUCGUUAUUUAUUCAAAUUCAAUUCAAUGAACUAAAAAUGCUAAAUUUAGAAUUCAUACCAAAAUGGGGAAAUUGGUCUUAGAACGUACCGAUUGAGAUUCGAACUACCACUCCUCGUCCGCGCGAAGAGGAGACCAAUAUGUCUCAUGGGGCCUCGCAGGAGAAUCGCCGGCCGUUCGCCUGAGAGGACGCCGUCUACGGUUGCCGGGAAUUUAAUAAAAAUUCAAAAUUUGGAAAAUAAAAAUACGGGCUAAACAGCUACGUUAUUUCAAAAAGGAAUUACUAAGGUAAAUCAGGUAAAUCAACGUGCUCUUCUACACUAGGACAACUUAUAAUUUCAAUUACCUAGUUGAAUUUUUUUCGUAGUUCAUUAAUUAAACGCUAAUAUUAGUACUCAGUAUGAAGGAGAGGCAGGGUCGGGUCGUGGAGAGAUAGUGAGAUGUGGGCUUUACCAAAUAAAUUGACUAUGGAAGUUGGGAAUACAUACGGUCUUUAAGAUUAGGAUUUUUUUUUUUUUGUUUAUUUUUUUCAAACGAUUAUAAAAAUAAUUGAAUAAAUGAAAUUAAAGGACUAUCACUGAAAUUAAAUAAAAAUUCUAUCUCUUUUCCAUUUUAUGGUAACUACACAAAAUAGCACAUUGUCAGUCGAUAUAUAGCUAAAGAGCUACAUUAUUUCAAUUCGAUAUAUAAUCAGAGAGCUGCGUUAUUUCAAAAAAAAAAUUACAUAGAUAAAUUGUCAUGCUCUUAUAUAACAUAACUUAUGAUUUCAAUUGUCUCUCUCGUAGUUUACUCUUCUGUAACUUGACUUGUGAUUCCAAUUAUUUUAUUGAAUUUCUCUCGUAAUUUGCUUCCAAUUAUCUGGUUGAAUCUCUCUCGUAAUUUACUGAUUAAACUGUAAAUAUUAUCCCUUGAGUUUUAUACUACUUUAGUUAACAAGGAGGCCCAUAAGAUUAAAAUGAUCCAACCCAAAAUUGGCAAAACCAUAAGCACAAGUGCAACUACGGCUAAUCCAAGAGCAAAUAAGCCAACUUUGCUAGUAAUUGAAUUGAAGGAGUUCCAAGCUUGAAAGAUAGUUCCAAACCCAUAUGUGAGUAGAGCAAUAAGAAAGAUUGGUAAUAUAAUGUGUGUGUCUGUAUCAACCAAAGGCUUGAUUUGAAUGAGGCCAAUUAAACUUGCUAUGGUCAAGGUGAAAACACUGUGUACUGCUGCAUUAAAAUUUUCCCUGAAAAGAAAAAUGAAAUAAAAAAACUAUUAGAAGGUUUUAGCACAUUUCAAUUUAACUAUAUAUAUAUAUUUGUAAUUGAUACGGAUAAACAAAGUUGCAUAAAUUUUAUAGACUUAGCAAUAAUUGGAAAAUGGAUAAAAAUUUUGGAAGAGUUUUUAAUAAUCUUUCAUGAAUUGAAUAAAGAUUGAUGGCUUGAAAUGAUAGAGAAGUUGAACUUGAACAAGUGUGCUCCGUCUAGCCAUGAAAGAAACACUGAAAAACUACAAGAUACAAUAAAAAGUUUGCAACCCAAUAUUUAAUGAUACUUACCUUGCGAAUGGCAUUUUCUUUUAAAUUCUUCGUGCUUGUUAGAGAACGCAAGAAUAGGAAGAUAGGAGAGAAGCUGGCAAUGACUAGAGAGUAACUCUGUGGUCCUUUCUUUUAAUGUAGAUCACUUCUGUCGCUCUCUUCAAAUCACAGUGGGUGGUCCUUUCUUCAACACUAGAGACUAACUCUUUCUUCAACACUAGAGAGUAACUCUGUGGUCCUUUCUUCAAAUGUAGAUCACUUCUGUCGCUCUCUUCAAAUCACAGUGGUCCUUUCUUCAACUUUAGAUCAUGGUCCUUUCUUCAAAUGUAACUCUUUCUUCAACACUAGAGAGUAACUCUGUGGUCCUUUCUUCAAAUGUAGAUCACUUCUGUCGCUCUCUUCAAAUCACAGUGGUCCUUUCUUCAAAUGUGGAUCAUGGUCCUUUCUUCAAAUGUAACUCUUUUCUUCAAGACUAGAGAGUAACUCUGUGGUCCUUUCUUCAAAUGUAGAUCACUUCUGUCGCUCUCUUCAAAUCACAGUCGUCCUUUCUUCAACUGUAGGAUCAUGGUCCUUUCUUCAAAUGUAACUCUUUCUUCAACACUAGAGAGUAACUCUCUUCUCUCUGCAAAUCACAGUGGUCCUUUCUUCAAAUGUAACUCUUUUCUUCAAGACUAGAGAGUAACACUGUGGUCCUUUCUUCAAAUGUAGAUCACUUCUGUCGCUCUCUUCAAAUCACAGUGUUCCUCUCAUAUUUUGCAUAUGGCCACAACUAAGAUUAUAAGUUAACAUUACUUUAUAUGGGCCGUUGAUUUGCUUCUUCGAUUCAAUUUUUCCAAGCCCAACCUCUUUCCAAGCUCAAUCUCAUUACCUUGUUGUCAGAAUUUACAGAUACUAACAGGUAAUAAAAAAAGAUUUCAAGACUUUUACACAGGCAAUAUGGGACAAUAUUAUUCUUUGGAAAAAAAAAAGGCUAUCAUUGCUGUCUUCCGAUUGCCUUUCCAAUCAGAUUCCUACUGCUGUUUCUCUCACAUCUGGCUAACUAAAAAUCUAUUUUCUCUCACUCAAACCAAGAUCUUUGAAAAAUAGAGAUUAAUACUUCAAGGAUGUAAUAACUCUCCUUCAAAUAUCUAAUAGAGCUAGACUAGAGACACUUAAAAAAAAAUCCAUUACAAUAGCUACAGCAAAACGAAUACAGAAACAUACAAGGGUUAGAAGGCUUUUAAAUUUCCCCUGAAAAGAAAAAUGAAAUAAAAAAAACUAUUAGAAGGCUUUAGCACAUUUCAAUUUAACUAUAUAUAUUUGUAAUUCAUAAGGAUAAACAAAGUUGCAUAAAUUUUAUAGACUUGGCAAUAAUUGCAAAAUGGAUAAAAAUUUUGGAAGAGUUUUGAAUAAUUUUUAAUGAAUUUUAAUAAAGAUUGAUAGCUUGAAAUGAGGAGAGAAGUGAAUCAAAUACUGAAAAACUUGAAGAUACAAUAAAAAGUUUGCAACCCAAUAUUUAAUUAUACUUACCUUUCGCUUGGCAUUCUUUUAAAUUCUUCGUGCUUGUUAGAGAACGGAAGAGUAGGAAGAUAGGAGAGCAGCUGCAAUGACUAGAGAGCGAGAGCUGAGUAGUAGCGCUUAGUUUUUUCUGAUGACAGCGACACGCGACUGUCAUUUCUUUGUUACUUUUGAGUAGUGGCGUAUUACUACAGUAGCGCUUCAACUAAAUCUCAUAUUUUUAGUUUUUUCUUAUGAGAGCGACGCGCGACUGUCAUUUUCCAGUCUAGUUUGCAUAUGGCCACAACUAAGAUUAUAAGUUAACAUGACUUUAUAUGGGCCGUUGAUUUGCUUCUUCCAUUCAAAUUUUCCAAGCUCAACCUCAUUCAAUUUUUCCAUUUUGGUCUGAUGGGCCGUUGAUUUUUGGAUUCAAUUUUUCCAAGCCCAACCUCAUUACCUUGUUGUCAGAAUCUACAGAUACUAACAGGUAAUAAAAAAAGAUUUCAAGACUUUUACACAUGCAAUAAAUGACAAGAAGAAAAUGCCAAUUCAGUUUAGAAAUAGAUAAUACUAAACUGAAUUCAAAAUGUCCUUUAGUAUCCUAAAGGGUUAAAAUCAAUCUUAAAUGACAAGAAGAAAAUGCCAAUUCAUUUUCUUUGGAAUGCAAAAAUCCAUUUAAGAUAUUGUGAGAGAAUAAAUGUUCGUUUACUAAUGCAGCCUAAAUUUCAUAGAGAUCUGAACAUCCAUUGCGAACACCCAGCAAAUGCAAGCAGACAAAUUCAUAUGAACCAGCAAAUAGCAAUACAAGGAUAUCAGCAUCCCAAAUAAAAAAUUGCUACGUGUGAAAAUUGUGGCGUGAAAGGUUACUCACCAGUACUUGAUCAAGCCAUCCCAACUGCAAGUUGCCACUUUGCUUUGCUCCAAUGGAUGCCACUCGCACCCAUGCACACACCCUCAUGACACUUGUCCAGAAAACCUUACAACUCUUCCAGUCCCAAAACCAGCAUUUACCCUCACCGUCUCCUGACAUAACAAACCGUCCAUCUGGUGAGAAAUUUACUUGGCAAGCAAAACCUGCCACAAUAUGCUCAGCAAACCGCUGGUGCACCUCUCCUAACUAUUGCAAUUCAGUUUCCUCUGAGAAACCUCAGGAGCAUUUGCUGGGUCAUCAUCCAAGAAUUUUCUUAGUUUGAUAUAAAUCAUUGUAAUAUUAGAUGAGUUUAUCUGGUCAUAUUCCCCAGUGCCAUUGUCAUGCAUAGUUGCAUACAUUCACAGCCUGUGAAAGAUAUCAAUGGACCACAAAUGCACCAAAAAAUAGUAGGCAGAGUGCUUUUACCGUCCACAUCCUUUUUUGAUCCCCUCGUGAUAAUGCAUAAAAUUGAGGGUGUUAAUGAUACAGGUUGAAAAUAUAAUAUCAUAUGAAGGGUUUAAAAGCACAUCAAACAAAUCGUUCUUGCCAAAACUAAAUAGAAACAAGUCAGCAACUGGUAGUCUGGUACCACAACUAAACAUGCUAAAGUAAUUGACAAAGCAACUGCAUACAUCUAUCUUUCUGACUUGCAAUAUCAUGCAGUCAACAUUCACAAUGUCAAUCAUGCAGUUACCCUAACAGUAGCACAAGAUAUUUCAUAUGGCCAAACAUAUUAUCAAAUAUCAAAUAAAACUGAGAAAGGAAAAUGUUUAUCUAACCUGUCAUUUACUCCUGCAAGCAUCACAUACUCGAACAGAACUUUGUAAUUCUUUCUGGAUUGGAGUUCCUUCCGAAGGGUGUCAAGAAGCAAGCUUAAAUUGUAUUUCCGGUUAAUUGGCAUGAUCCAGUUUCUUACCUGCAUGGUUUAUUAGUUAAAGAGAAAGUCAACAACCUGCAUGUGUUUCUCAAGUGAAUAAACAUACAGAUAUAAAUGAAAAUGCACCUCAUCAGUUGUCGCAUUCAGACUAACAGCUAAAGCACAAUUGGAUUCACGAAGGAAACGUUUCAACUGGGGGACAAGCCCGCUUGUAGAAACAGUUACCUUGCGAGAACUAAAAUGAAGACCAUGCUCAUGCACCAUAAUAUCGGCAGCUUUUAUGACAUUUUCAAUUCUGAAGUGGUUCUCCCAUUCCCUGCAAAUAUAUAUUUCAAAGCAAAUUAUUAGAAAUUAUUGGGCUAACUAAAAAAUCUAUUUUCUCUCACUUAAACCAAGAUCUUUGAAAAAUAGGGAUUAAUACUUCAUGGAUGUAAUAACUCACCUUCAAAUAUCUAAUAGAGCUAGACUAGAGACACUUCNNNNNNNNNNAAAAAAAAAAAAAAAAAAAAAAAACGAUUACAAUAGCUGCAGCAAAAGGAAUACAGAAACAUACAAGGGUUAGAAGGGUGUAAAUGCGCAUAGGUAGUGGAUACGCAAUCCAUGAAUAGUAUUGUUGAACGGUUGGACAAGUAUUCCGAUCAAUGCACAAGGAAACACAUGGACUUAAUUCCUCAAAUUAUGUGUUUUUCUAGGUAACCAGGGAAUGCAUAAUGACAACAAAACGAAUGAAAUCUUCACUUUCAAUUUAUGUUGUUGAUAGAUAGUGAAAAUAACAUUGAAUUAUUAGAUGCCUUAGUAUUGGACUGAGCGAAGUCACUAACUGAGCCAAAUCUGAACUGAUUGGGAAAACUUCUGUUAAUAGAAAAUUUUCUAGAUCACAGACUUACCAUAAAUACAACAUUUGUGAUCGAACCAACUUUGCUUGUUACAAGACGUUCUGCAAAUACAACCUGGUCUACAAUCUCUGCAGUAGUUAGAUGUCUCUUCAAACCCAUCCUCAAAAUUGCAUUAUGCAUCAAGAAGAUGUACCUUGUAGAAAGUAACAAUAGCAAUAAUACAAAUACAAAUAAGAAAGAUAUAAAGCUUACCUGCCAGUGUAGCACAACUGACAAUUCAUGGCACAGCCCACUUGACUUCAAAACACAAACUGUCGUCUUACCUCUAUCACAAGGUAUGACGACUUUUUCAAUUACCAGUUCAUCAUCCAACCUAAAUAAAAUCUGCAAGCUCCUGUGAGUUUCAGAACCAAUGAGAAGAUAAUGCAACUGCUAAAAGCAAUAUAUCGAACCAGAAUCAAGUGACUUCGAGACCAAAAAUACAACAAUAAUGGUUUUAGCUACCUUCUUAGUUCCAUCAGAUGCAGUACAAACAUCUUCCAAAGAUAUUACCUCAAAUUCUGCGUGUUCACUCAACAUUUUCCCAAAAUCCUUAUUCAACCCUGAAUAAGGUUAUCAAAGACAAAAUUCAUAAGGCUCAGCAUGUCUCUCUUGUUGGAAUAGAGAUUCAAUUUUUCACAUAGACAGGGACAUCAAAGGGAGAUAAAAUCAUUUAGCUCACUGAAAAGGCUAUAAAACCGGACAAUAGAUAGCAUUUCAGAGACAAGGUGCUGGAAGAAUACCUUCUAGCUCAUCAACAUAAUGCGCUCAAAUAUUUUCCCCAUAAAGACGCUUCCACAGCAUCAUAGCUUGACCAGGUCUGAAUCCAUGAGAUUGAACCCAUUUCUGGCAUAGUGGAUUCCCACAAUUAUUACUUGGAAAACUUUAACAUAAAAUUAUAUAUAAAUUCUCAUAUUUGGAAUAUUAGAAUUUAUUUUGAAUUUCUAGUCUAGCUAGCUUGGACCACAGUUUAAAAUUGUAUACUUUUUUGAGUUUAGUAUAGGAAGAAAAGGAGAGUAGAAAAACACACUUCAAGCUCAGUGUAAUUCAUUCCCUUAAGAAGCACCUUUGAACCCUUGGUUAGAAUAGCAUUCAUGUCUCUACUUCCUACACAAAUAAACAGCCACAAAACAAAUAAAUAAACAAAAUGGGAGCUCCAAAAACAACAUAUGUUACUAGGAAACGAUUUAUCUGCUUACCCAUAUCAACAGGAAGUAGUGACGAUGAACAAGCGGCGGUAGAAACGGAACGAGGAGAUGGAGAUUGGGCGGUGGCGGUGAUGAAGAGAGUUCUUUUAGAGAGGAAAGAGAGAGAUGAGAUCGAUUAGGGUAAGUAAUUGAGAGCGAAGCGGAUGAGGAGGCCAUUGAAGGGUGAUUUACAAGAACCACUGACCGCACGCGCCUCAUCCACAUACAACCCAUCUCCAUUCUCUGAUUUCUUGUAGCCCGAAAGUAUAACAUGUUCAUUUGAUGAAAAUGAAGAGAGUGGGCCUUUAUAUGAGAGUAGGCCUGUCUCUGGCGUGGUUAUAUGUGCUUUUUGUGGUUAUGGUGUGGUUCUGCAACUCACUUGAAAUGCCUAAGUGCUACCCUUUAUAGGAGACAGCUGAUUUGAAAAAUUGAAAUGCCACAGGGGCCAGUGCUGCCCUUUGUAUCCAAUUCGGAGUUGUUGAUGUUUAUACCGAUCAAUCAUAGAAGAAAAAUUUAGAGUCUGCACCAACUUGAAAUAAAGUUCUUUAACAAAAACUUUCCAGACCCAACGUAUAUAAAUAUUAUAUUAUUCUAGGAAUGAAGAGUUCCAUGUUAAGCGGCAUAAGGUGAAGUUUGUGUCUUUUUUUUUUUUAAUUUUUUUUUUGGCUGUUUUUUGAAUUCAAUAGAUAAAAGAAUUCUUUAAGAAAGUGCAGUCAUCUAUGAUACCGCGGUACGUUAACAAAGUGCGAGGGUGCUUUUGGUACCGCGGGAGGGGACUGCCAUCUAAUAGUGGACAAUGCCACAGCCAAGUGAUGCAACUAAAGCCUUGGCUAUAGCAGGUUGCCAAGUGAUGUCAUUUAGGACGACAAUAUUAUGUGCCUCAUCGAAUAUUUACCCAACAUUGACCGAAUACAGAUAAAACAUAUUCGAUGAGGCACAUUUGCUUCGUGAAUAGCAAACUACUGUUUUGCGUCCAUCUUAUUUUUUUUAUCUGGAGAAAUUACUGUUUUGUUCUUUGGAAUUAGUGUGCGAUUUAUCAUUAAUAUGUUGACUGAUGUGACUUUUGGGCCUUUGUUUUUGCCUUGAAGAAAUUGUGUGGUCUCUCUGCUGUUAAUUGAUUAAGCAGCCAUACAGAGUCUUCUUCUUUUAUGAUAAUGUGCAUAAACUAUUUGCUAGAUAUUUUUUAACUUAGUUUUCCUAAUCAGUUAAAUUUCAAAUGUUGAAAUCUAUUGCUCAGAUUUCAGGGAUAAAUUUGUAGCAACUGAAUGUUAUUAUAGAGUCUCGAUGAGUUUUUCCUUCCCUUAUAAAUUGUUAUUACAGGUAAAGUUUUCGACAGUUGAAUUAUUUAGUGCGAGUAAGUUUUUGAAUUCUCAACUCACCUGCUCCUUACUUUCCUUGUGUGCCUUCUUCACGGAUUGACAAGAAUGUUAUGAAUAUGUAUUUCAAAAGCUGACUCUUAGGCGUUUCACCCUAAACAUAAAUUCACUAUUUAGCUUUAUUACUUAAAUUUUACUGCACUUUUAAUUUUUAUUUUAAUUCAUUUAAUAUUUUAAUUUAUAAAAUUAUUUUAUUAAAUAUUUCAAUUUGCAAAAUAGAUCAAUUAAACACCUAUGAAAUAAUUAAAAUUUAUAAAAAUUAUUAUUCAAAAAAUUUUAAAAACUAUAAUUGUUAAUGUGAAAAAAUAUUUAAUAUUAUCAAAAUUUAUAAAUUCAAAUAUAUGAUAAAUCAUCAUAAAAUUUAGAAUAGAAAGAAUUAAAGUUACAAAAUUGAAGAAUAAAUUUAUAUAUUUAGUGAUUUUUCAAGAUUUGAAAUAAUGUUUUUUUGGCAUUUUUCAAUUGUAAAAAUUAUUAGGGUAUUAUAUAAAUAGUUUUUUGUUAAGAGCUGAAAUAAUGUAAGAAGAAGUAAUGUAAGAAAAUGCUAAGCUGAAAUAUUUUUUUAUUUUAUGGCUUUCAAAGAAAUAAUGUAAGAAAAUGCUAAACUCAAUCCGGCCAAAAAAAUAAUCAAACAAAAUCAACUUUAAAAAAAAAAAAGAAAAUAAUAAAAAAUAGGCUAAAGUCAAAGGAUGGUGUUAUAGUUAAACAAAAUAUUAAGGGCUGAAUGGGAAUUUUCCCACGUGGGUUAUAUCUACAUUACUUCAGUCCACGUGUGAUUAUAUGGGUUGUGAUGGGCUGUUGAUUCGAUUCAAUUUUUUCAAGCCCAACCUCAUUACCUUGUUUUGCUGCUGCCCGGAUACACAAGAACUACUGUUCGCAUAAUUUGUAGAAAAUGUCGCGAAUACGUAUUUCAAAACGGAAGCUUAAUCAAUUUGCCCAUAUUUUACCCUAUUAAGUGUGUUUUAUACGUUUUGGGGUUUAUUUAGGUUUAAUACGCAAAUGCAUCUUUUAUUUUUAUUACUUUAUUACUUUAAUUUUGUGAUGCUGUCAAUUUUUAUUGUCUCCUUAAAUGCUUCAUUUUAUAAAAAUUACAUUUAUUAAAUAUUUCAAUUUACAAAAUAGAUUAGUUAGAUACCUAUUAAAUAAUUGAUUAUUAUAAAUAUUAUUAUUUCAAAAUUUAAGCUAAACUACAUAUCGAAUUGAUAUUUUGUAGAUAAGAGCCAAAAAUCUUAAAAAUUAUUGUUAUUAAUGUGAAAAUACGUGUAAUAAUUAAAAUUACAAAGUUCGUGAAUUUAAGUAUUCAGACUUUCUCAAGAUUUUAAAUAAUAUUUACUUUGACAUUUAUCAAUUCUAAAAAACCAAUAAUUGAUCAAAGUUCCAAGGGGUGACAUCAAAUGAAAGAAUAAAAACUAUUUAACAAGGAAGAAAAGAAGAGAAUACCACAAAAUUGCAACUAAAAAGCUAAGCCAAAAUCAUUAAUUAAAUUAUAUUUCUAGUUUAAAUGAUACAAAAUAUGAAGACCCCAAAUUCUCACCAACCGGUACACUAAAAUUUCAAUGGAGAAUGAUACAAUUUGGCUCUUCCGAUCUCUACUCUCUCUAUACCACGGAACGUGCAGCCCUCCAACCAGCAGAAUAUGUAUUGUCUUCUCUCUAUUAUAACAGCAGAAGUGGGCAAAUCAAUUGAUGUAGGAAGAAGAAAUUAGUCCCUGCAAAACAAAGCAAAAGGUUAAAAUGCUAGCUUUUCAUUCAAGGAGGAACGGCUCUCAAAAUGUCUCUGGCAUCGCAAAUUUACAAGUGAUGAUGCAAAGGUUAUGAUGUCUUCUGAAAUUAUCUAGAAAUUAAAUGUUCAUAAUAUAAAUUCCAGCUUAUGUUAAAUUCAAAACAAAAUUGGCACAUUCACCAAAAUAAAUGAAAAUCUUCAUUUAUCCAAUAGCAAAGGUUCUUCCGCUGCAGUUUAUAUCCAUUAGAAAACUAAAAACCUUGUGGGUCAUAAUCAAUAAACGGAAUCAGGAGGAGAUGUUGAAUAAUUGAAAGAGGAAAUUAAGAGGGUUAUCUCUGCCAAAGCAAUGGAAUUCACAACACUUUACAGAAACUUCCAUUCAAAAUGCAUAUGGUUUCAUCUUCUUCUGCUUCCAAUUAAAAUAUAUAUAAAAUAACACAUAAAUGCAGAAUCCGGAUAAUGUAAUAUAAGGGGAUCGUGACUCUACAACGUGAUUUUGAAAAUUUGCAGCAGCACAACAACAGCAGCCAAGCCCUUAGCCACAAAUUAGCUGGGAAUUUGCACAAAUACACAAAAUCUUUUGUUUUCUUAUGGCUCUAUUAGCUAUAGAUAAUACUAAACUGAAUUCAAAAUGUCCUUUAGUAUCCUAAAGGGUUAAAAUCAAUCUUAAAUGACAAGAAGAAAACGCCAAUUCAUUUUGUUUGGAAUGCAAAAAUAUCAUGCAGUUACCCUAACAGUAGCACAAGAUAUUUCAUAUGGCUAAACAUAUUUUCAAAUAUCAAAUAAAACUGAGAGGGGAAAAUGUUUAUCCAACCUGUCAUUUACUCCUGCAAGCAUCACAUACUCGAACAAAACUUUGUAAUUCUUUCUGGAUUGGAGUUCCUUCCGAAGGGUGUCUAGAAGCAAGCCUAAAUUGUAUUUCCGGUUAAUUGGCAUGAUCUAGUUUCUUACCUGCAUGGUUUAUUAGUUAAAGAGAAAGUCACCAACCUGGAUGUGUUUCUCAAGUGAAUAAACAUAUGGAUAUAAAUGAAAAUGCACCUCAUCAGUUGUUGCAUUCAGACUAACAGCCAAAGCACAAUUGAAUUCAUGAAGGAAACGUUUCAACUGGGGGACAAGCCCGCUUGUAGAAAUAGUGACUUUGCGAGGACUAAAAUGAAGACCCUGCUCAUGCACCAUAAUAUCUGCAGCUUUUAUGACAUUUUCAAUGCUCUGAAGUGGUUCUCCCAUUCCCUUCAAAUACAUAUUUCAAAGCGAAUUAUUAGAAAUUAUUGGGCUAACUAAAAAUCUAUUUCCUCUCACUUAAACCAAGAUCUUCGAAAAAUAGGGAUUAAUACUUCAUGGAUGUAAUAACUCUCCUUCAAGUAUCUAAUAGAGCUAGACUAGAGACACUUCACAAAAAAAAAAUCCAUUACGAUAGCUGCAGCAAAACGAAUACAGAAACAUACAAGGGUUAGAAGGGUGUAAAUGCCCAUAGGUAGUAGAUAUUCAAUCCAGGAAUAGUAUUGUUGAAUGGUUGGACAAGUAUCCCGAUCAAUGAUUAAGGAAACACAUGGACUUAAUUCCACAAAUUAUGUGUUUUUCUAUGUGACCAGGGAAUGCAUGACAACCACAAAACGAAUGAAAUCUUCACUUUCUAUUUAUGUUGUCGAUAGAUAGUGAAAAUAACAUUGAAUUAUUAGAUGCCUUAGUACUGGACUGAGCAAAGUCACUAACUGAGCCAAAUCUGAACUGAUUGGAAAAACUUCUGUUAAUAGAAAAUUUUCUAGAUCACAGACUUACAAUAAAUACAACAUUUGAGAUGGAACCAACUUCGCUCGUCACAAGAUAUUGUGCAAAUACAACCUGGUCUACAAUCUCUGCAGUAGUCAGAUGUCUCUUCAAACCCAUCCUAAAAAUUGGAUUAUGCAUCAAGAAGAUGUACCUUGUAGAAAGUAACAUAGCAAUAAUACAGAUACAAAUAAGAACGAUAUAAAGCUUACCUGCCAGUGUAGGAGAACUCACAAUUCAUGGCACAGCCCACUUGACUUGAAACACAAACUGUCGUCCUACCUCUAUCACAAGGUAUGACGACUGUUUCAAUUACCAGUUCACCAUCCAACCUAAAUAAAAUCUGCAAGCUCCUGUGAGCUUCAAAACCAAUCAGAAGAUAAUGCAACUGCUAAAAGCAACAUAUCGAACCAGAAUAAAGUGACUUUGAGACCAAAAAUACAACAGAUAAUGGUUUUGGCUACCUUCUUAGUUCCAUCGGAUGAAGUACGAACAUCUUCCAAAGAUAUUGCCUUAAAUUCUGCGUGUUCACUCAACAUUUUCCUAAAAUCCUUAUUCAAACCUGAAUAAGGUUAUCAAAGACAAAAUUCAUAAGGCUCAGCAUGUCUCUCUUGUUGGAAGAGAGAUUCAAUUUUGCACAUACAUAAGGACAUCAAAGGGAGAUAAAAUCAUUUAGCUCACUGAAAAGGCUAUAAAACCAGACAAUAGAUAGCAUUUGAGAGACAAGGUGGUGUAAGAAUACCUUCUAGUUCGUCAACAUAAUGCGCCCAAAUAUUUUCCCCAUAAAGACGCUACCACAGCAUCAUAUCUUGACCAGGUGUGGAUCCAUGAGAUUGAACCCAUUUCUGGCAUAGUGGAUUCCUACAAUUAUUGCUUGGAAAACUUGAACAUAAAAUUAUACAUAAAUUCUCAUGUUUGGAAUAUUAGAAUUCAUUUUGAAUUUAUAGUCUAGCUAGCUUGUACCACAGUUUAAAAUUAUAUACUUUUUUGAGUUUAGCAUAGGAAGAAAAAGAGAGUAGAAAAACACACUUCAAGCUCAGUGUAAUUCAUUCCCUUAAGAAGCACCUUUGAACCCUUGGUUAGAAUAGCAUUCCUGACUCUACUUCCUACACAAAUAAACAGCCACAAAACAAAUAAAUAAAUAAAAUGGGAGCUCGAAAAACAACAUAUGUUACUAGGAAACGAUUUAUCUGCUUACCCAUAUCAACAGGAAGUAGUAACGAUGAACAAGCUGCGGUCGAAACGGAACGACGCGCGGAAGAGAAAAGAGAAGUGGGGUGGAGAUGGAGAUUGGGCGGUGGCGGUGAUGAAGAGAGUUGUUUUAGAGAGGAAAGAGAGAGAUGAUAUCGAUUAGGGUAAGGAAUUGAGAGCCAAGCAGAUGAGGAGACCAUGGAAGGGUGAUUUACAAGAACCACUGACCGCACGAGCCUCAUCCACAUACAACCCAUCUCGAUUCUCCGAUUUCUCGUAGCCCGAAAGCAUUACAUGUUCAUUUGAUGAAAAUAUAUAUUAACAUCAUCGCAGCCGACAAGAACUCAAGAUUUAAGUAAAGCGGAAAUUUUCAAAUUUUUAUGAUAAUUUCAGAAAAACAAAAGAAAAAUUCAUCAGAUUUAAUUAAUUUAACUAAAUUCAGGUUUAAAUCAGUAUUGCAAAAAAGUGAAUUGAUCAUUCAGAAUUUGAAAUAAUCCGUGGCACCUGUAUAGUAAUCGCAGAGCUUAAAACCAACAAAUGAAAAAAUAAAGGGAAAAAGAAAAAGGAAGGUUCUCACCAAUUUCAAACGAUUAAUCAAAAUUUGAAGAGAUAGGUUCCUUUCUUGAAUUGACCAAUUUCAGGCGUUUUUUCCUUGUGCAGAAGGGAGAGAGAUUGAGACGAAGAAGAAGAGAUCAAGAGAGAGGUAGUUAGUGCUUAAUAGAAAGGAGAGGCGCGGUCGUGUCGUGGAGAUAGUGAGAUGAGGGAUUUUUUUUUUUUUUUUUUUUUUUCAAAUGUUUAUAAAAUUAUUUGAAUAAAUGAAAUUAAAGGACUAACACUGAAAUUAAAUAAGAUUUUUAUUUCUUUUCCAUUUUAUGGUAACUAUGUACAAUAGUACAUUUUCCAUCGACGUAUAAUUAGAUAGCUAUAUUUUUUUAAAAAGAAAUACAUAAAUUAAUUAUCGUGUUCUUCUAUAAUAUGACGUUUUAUGAUUUCAAUUAUAUUUUUAAAUCUCUCUCGUAGUUUGCUAAUUAAACCGUAGAUAUCUUCACGUGAAUCAUAUAUUACUUUAGUAAACAAGGAGACCCAUAAGAAUAAAAUAAUCCGACCAAAAGUUGGAACAACCAUAAAGACAAGCACAGCUACGGUUAAUCCAAGGGCAAAUAAGCCAACUUUGCUUGUAAUUGAAUUGAAGGAGUCCCAAGCUUGAAAGAUAGUUCCAAACCCAUAUGUGAGUAGAGCAACAAGAAAGAUUGGUAAUAUAAUGUGUGUAUCUGUAUUAACCAAAGGCUUGAUUUGAAUGAGGCCAAUUAAACUUGCUAUGAUCAAGGCGAAAACAUUAUGUACUGCAUUUAAAUUUUCCCUGAAAAGAAAAAUAAAAUAAAAAAACUAUUAGAAGGCUUUAGCACAUUUCAAUUUAACUAUAUAUAUUUGUAAUUGAUAAGGAUAAACAAAGUUGCAUAAAUUUUAUAGACUUAGCAAUAAUUGCAAAAUGGAUAAAAAGUUUGGAAAAGUUUUGAAUAAUCUUUCAUGAAUUGAAUAAAGAUUGAUGGCUUGAAAUGAUAGAGAAGUUAAACAAGUGAGCUCUGUCUAGCCAUAAAAGAAACACUGAAAAACUUGAAGAUACAAUAAAAAGUUUGCAACCCAAUAUUUAAUGAUACUUACCUUUCGAUUGGCAUUUUCUUUUAAACUCUUCGUGCUUAUUAGAGAACGCAAGAAUAGGAAGAUAGGAGAGAAACUGCAAUGAGACAGCAAGCAUCUGAUGCUCUACCAUUUGCCAGUCUAAAGGCAUCUGAAUCCUCAAGUUAAGUUCUCGAGUUAUAGAAUCCUCUUUACCAUUGAAUCCCCUAAAGGCCCUCAAGUUAUAGUUCUCGAUUGAAUUAGUUCUCGAGUUAUAGAAUCCUCUUUACCAUUUGAAUCCUCUAAAGGCAGCAUCUGAAUCCUCGAGUUAUAGUUCUACGGUUGCCUUUAGUUUCAAGACAAUAUUUUCCAGUCUACUUUGCAUAUGGCCACAACAAAGAUUGUAAGUUAACAAUACUUUAAAUGGGCCGUUGAUUUGCUUCUUCCAUUCAAUUUUUCCAAGCCCAACCUCAUUACCUUGUUGUUGGAAUUUAGAGAUACUAAUAAGUUAUAGAAACAGAUGUCAACACUUCUACACACGCAAUGUGGGACAACGUUCUUCUUUUGGGAAAAAAAAAAAAAAAAAAAAAAAACUAUUAUUGCUGUCUUCCGAUUGCCCUUCCAAUCGGAUUCCUACUGCUGUUUCUCUCACAUCUGCCUUAAUUAUUCAAUAAAUAAAUUUUCAUUAUAUAUUUAGCCUUUCUCGAGAUUUUAAAUAAUAUUUACUUUGAUAUCCUUCAAUUCUAAAAAUUAUUACAGUUUAAUAUAAAUUUUUUAUUAAGAGUUGAGUGCUAAAUAUACAACAUGCAGGUUUCCUUUCCUUUUUUCUUUUUUUUUUUUUAUUAUAUAUACUUUUUUUAUUUUAUGGCUUUCAAAGAAGAAAUAAUGUCAAAAAAAAAGCUCAAUUGAAUCCGGCGAAAAAGAAAAACAAAAACAAAAAAGAGAAUAAUAAACCAGACGCUGAUUGUUCAGAGUUGAAAUUCUGCAGCAUGUUUAGAGACGCUUCUCAUUACCGAAUCACUUCCAAUGAUGCAUCGUAGUAAAAUCAAUGAUUGAUCAAAGUUCGAAGGGAGUGUCAUCAAAUGAAAGAAUAAAACUAAAGAAUAGAAUCAGGCUUGAAGGACAUCUUCAAGACUUUAAGUGUUUCAAGCCUGGUUCUAUUCUUGAAUGCUUGAAUGCCAUCUUGGCACUUUAACACUUAAAGUUUUAAUGGCACUUUAAAGUUGAAAACACUCCAUUAAAACUUUAAAGUGCCAUUAAAACUUUAAGUGUUAAAGUGCCAAGAUGGCAUUCAAGCAUUUAAAACUCUUCAAGUUUUAAAGUUCAAGAAUAGAAUCAGGCUUGAAACACUUAAAAGUCUUGAAGAUGUCAUUCAAGCGCAUUUAAGUGCUAAAACUUUACAUUUUUAGUUUUCCAGCUAAUAUUAUAUAAUAUUCUAGUCAAGUCAAUUUUACCAGGCCCACCUCGAUCAAAUUUUUCAUUUUGGUCUGAUGGGCCGUAGAUUCUUCGAUUCAAUUUCUCCAAGCCCACCCUCUUUCCAAGCCCAAACUCAUUACCUUGUGGCUAGAACUUACAGAUACUAAUAGGUAAUAAAAAAAGAUUUCAAGACUUUUACACAGGCGAUAUGGGACAAUAUUAUUUUUUGAAAAAAAAAAAAAAAAAAGAAGCUAUUAUUGCUGUCUUCCGAUUCCUACUGCUGUUUCUCUCACAUCUGCCUUAAUUAUUCAAUAAAUAAAUUUUCAAUAUUACGUUUUUUCAGUUCAUUAAUAUUGGCAAUUGGUAAAAAGGGUUGGAUUAUGAUAUCAUAUUAAAAAAAUAAAAGCUUAAUAUGCAAACUUAGGUAUUAAAAGCUAAAACUACUAAUAAUUAAUUAUAAGAAAGUGAUGUAGGAUAAACAAAAUUAAAUAUUUUUUUAGCAAAAUGUUUUAAACAUCCUCAAAUAUAAAUUCACCUCUAAUAUGAUUUGUUUUUACAUUUUAUUUUUACGUAUUGCACCUACAUAUUUUAAAUUAUAUAUUGUGGCCCCCAGUUUUUAUUAUUUUAAAUUAUAUAUUUCAUUCUGAUUAACCCUUUUUCUGUCAAAAUUUUAAAUUUACUUGUUACCUGGUCAACUUGUCAAUUUUAUGAGUAAUGGUUAAAAUUGUAAAGUUCAUCUAUUGAUGUAGUCAGCUUUUCUCCAGAUUUUAAAUAAUAUUUACUGUCAUUUUUCAAUUCUAAAAAUUAUUGCAGUUUAAUAUAAAUUUUUUGUUAAGAGUUAGAUCGCUAAAUAUACAACAUGCAGGUUUCCUUUCCUUUUUUUUUAUUAUAUAUAUAUUUUUUUAUUUUAUGGCUUUCAAUGAAGAAAUAAUGUCAAAAAAAUGCUCAAUUGAAUCCGGCGAAAAAACAAUAAACCAGACGCGUAUUGCUCAGAGUUGAAAUUCUGCUGCAUAUUUAGAGACGUUUCUCGUUACCGGAUCACUUCCAAUGAUGCAUCAUAGUAAAAAAACCAAUAGUUGAUCAAAGUUCCGAUGGGUGUCAUCAAAUGAAAAAAUAAAACUAUUUAACAAGGAAAAAAAGAAGAGAAUACCACAAAAUUGCAACUAAAAAGCUAAGCCAAAAUCAUUAAUUAAGUUACAUUUCUAGUUUACACGAUACAAAAUAUGAAGAACCCAAAUUCUCAACAACCGGUACACUAAAAUUUCAAUGGAGAAUAAUAGAAUUUGGCUCUUCCGCUCUCUACUCUCUCUAUAGCACCGAACGUGCAGCCCUCCAACCAGCAGAAUAUUUAUUGUCUUCUCUCUAUUAUAACAGCAGAAGUGGGCAAAUCAAUUGAUGUCGGAAGAAGAAAUUAGUCCCUGCAAAACAAAAGCAAAAGGUUCAAAUGCUAGCUUUUCAUUCAACGAGGAACGGCUCUCAAAAUGUCUCUGGCAUCGCAAAUUUACAAGUGAUGAUGCAAACGUUAUGAUUUCUUCUGAAAUUAUCUAGAAAUUAAAUGUUCGUAAUAUAAAUUCCACCUUAUGUUAAAUUCAAAACUAAAAUUGGCACAUUCACCAAAAUCAAUGAAAAUCUUCAUUUAUCCAAUAGCAAAGGUUCUUCAGCUGCAGUUUAUAUCCAUUAGAAAACUAAAAACCUUGUGGGUCAUAAUCAAUAAAUGGAAUUAGUAGGACCCUUCCCCAAUAGGCCAAUUCCAAAUCUAGGCUUUUAUUCCAAGAAAAAAACUCCCAAAUCAAAUAUCUACCAUAAAAUGGUGUCCGAGGCACAGUAAACAUCCUAAUGUCCUGGUCAACCAUGGAAGAGAAUGGCAGAUUUCAAUCAGAAAGAAGUAUGCGUCAUAUUAAUGAGCAGAUGACGCAUACUAGCUCGAAGCAAAUAUUCAGAAGAUGAUCUAGAAUAGAGCAAUCCCAAUUCAGGAUUGAUGCAAAACCAAGCCUCACAAAGACAUUAGAAUUCUGCCCCAGUGCUUUAUUUCAAGUUUCAGAUAUAUGACAAGGCUUGCUUUUUGAACAUCCAUUCAAUCAAAGUAAUGAAAGAGAUAAUUUGAUGAUGAAAUGAGUUUGCUUGAUUUUACAUGAUAGUAAGCAUCUAUACUGCUAGUCAGCAAUGAGAAGUAAUACAUAACCUGUUGGGAAAAACAAAUGAGAAAAUAAAAUAAUGACUGAGAAAUUAAAGAGACGACAAUCACGACAAUCACAAUUACAAAAUAUUCACUAUGCGGCAAAUUGUUACAACCACAAUUACAAAAUAUUUUUCUACCCGACACCCUCAAAACACCCCAAAUAUUUUAUACUCCAAGAGACGUGCUCUAAAUCCCUAAUAUAAAACACAUUCAAAUAUUUUUGGUGUGUUUUGGUGUGUUUAGAAACCUAAACAUUGGCUUCCUUUUAUAGCCAANNNNNNNNNNNNNNNNUUUGCCCAUCCCCCCAAGGUGGGAUUGAGCAAAACCUUUUUUUUUUUUUUAAUUUGUUUUCAACAAAGGUGACUAACAAUCUCCACCUUGAAAAUACAAUUAAAAAAAAACACAACAUUGUUUGCUACCGACAAUCAUAAUUCUUAUCGUCAAGAAUUAUCAUACUCCACCAUAAAAGAGUAUCGCCACUUGGAAACACUUUACCGACUCCAAGAAUUUUCUAUCGGCCAUGUCGGAUCCCGCUAAUAGUUUAUGGUGCAACCCUCCUGUUGACUUUUCCGAGAGUUCAUUAGCAAUCGACAUAUUUUUUUUUCACCACACACUUUGCAUUAACUGUCAACCAAUGCCGUGCGCAUUUCUGUGGACCAGCUACCAAUAAUCCGUCCUCUUCCAUGGCAUCUCAACGGGUAGCAAUCAUGCCAUGAGGCAUCUCUCAAUUACAGAGAGACUCCUUCGCCACAGGAGAUCACAUUGGCAGCAACAACGUUAGAGCUUCUAGCCGAAUCAGCUCCACCGUUCGGGCAAUUCUUCCUCACGUGUCCAGUUUGACCACAACUCCAGCAGACAACCUUCCUCUUUCCGGAGCUUUUAUUCUUUUUCUUGGUACCGACAAAUAAAGCUGAAUCCUCAUAUGAUUUAUUUUUCAUUUCAUUCAGUCUUCUCUCCUACUAACCACAUCUGCAUACACCACUUCCAUACUACCAUAUUUCAGAACAGGUUUCAUGUGCUCAUAUGUCGAAGGAAGUGACAGGAUAAGUCGGAGAGCUUUAUCUUCAUCUUCGGUUUGCACUCCAAGAGAACCAAAGAUGCACCGAAGCAUAAGCUGAAAAUUCAAAGCAAAUUUUCCAAAACAAUUUUUUUUUUAAAAGAGAACCAAUCAAAUAUCAACAACUCAUUUCUCAUACAGAUGAAAUUCAUUCAACAUAAUAAGAAACUCAAAACAGAAUCAUAAAAUUAUGAAUAUUUUUUAGAGGCUCUGAUUGUGCAUUUGGCAAACAAAUGGGGGAAUAAAAAAAAAACUAUGGUGGCAAAUUAAAAAAAAAAAAAAAACAAAUUGGGGAACAGAAACAGAAACGGAAGGUUCUAAAGGAUGAUCAGUUUCACAGUAGCAAAGCAAAUAUUAAUAAAACCAAGAUUAAUACCAAUCCAAAAUGGAAUUUGAAACAUGGAAAUAAAAUAAAAAGAAACUGCCCCACAACAGUUUUGUCCCUUCAAAAUGCUUAAUUUGUAUUUAACAUCGUCACAGCCGACAAGAACUCAAUAUUUAAGUAAAGCUGAAAUUUUCAAUUUUUUAUGAUAAUUUCAGAAAAAUUCAGAAAAACAAACAAAAAAAAAAAUCAUCAGAUUUAAUUAAUUUAAUCUUUUUUUAAUCAAAUUCAGGAUUCAAUCAUUUACGGUAAUUACAUAAAUAGCACAUUUUCAAUGGAUAUGUAACUAGAGAGCUACAUUAUUUCAAAAACGAAUUACAUGGAUAAAUCAUCGUGAUCUUCUGUAACAAAACGUUUUAAGAUUUCAAUGAUCUUGUUGAAUGUCUAUUGUAGUUUGCUAAUUAAACGGUAAAUCUAUUGUCGUGAAUUAUAUAUUACUUUUGCGAACAAGGAGGCCCAUAAGAUUAAAAUAAUCCAACCAAAAAUUGAUAAGGAUAAACAAAGUUGCAUAAAUCUUAUAAACUUAGCAAUAAUUGCAGAAUGGGUAAAAAGCUUGGAAGAGCUUUGAAUAAUCUUUCAUGAAUUGUAAUAAAGGUUGAUAGCUUGAAAUGAUAGAGAAGUGAAACAAGUGUUCUCUGUCUUGCCAUGAAUGAAAUACUGAAAAACUUGAAGCAACAUAAAAAGUUUGACAACCCAGUAUUUAACGACACUAACCUUUCGAUUGGCAUUUUCUUUUAAAUUCUUCGUGCUUGUUAUUUUUUAGUUGCGAAUGAUGACUACCAACACAGGAAAAGGCCUGGUUCCCUGCCGAAAGAGUAAGGAAACGAAUGUGGCAAGACCGACUGAUAUAAGUAUAGCAAAUAUGUGCUCUUUGCUCUUUUUAUUUUAUGUACGAGUUUGUAAGGCCUGUUUCACAGGGCUCACAUCUGAUAUUGUUUUAGUUUUCAAGGUUUGCAUUGACUUUAUUCCGCACAUGAUGCUAUUGUGUUGGUCGGGCGAAUUUUUUGUUUUUGUUCUUAGUUUUAAAGAUGAAAAAUCACGAUGCCUAUAUAAAAAUUAAAAUAAAAGAAUCCCAGUAACCUUAUUAAAAUUAAAUUAUAUAUUGUGGCUCCUGUUUUUUUGUUGUAUUAAACCUACUCUUUUUCAAUCUUUAUAUAUUGCAUUAUUUUAUUUUAUUUUGUUGUUGCAUUGCUUUUGAUUUUUUUUUUUCCCAGUAAAGAAUAGAAUGUUAUCUCACAUUAUGGAUUGAAUAAAACAAUACUUCUUUCUUCGCAUUUAUCCAUAUCAAUAGGAAUAUGUACAUGGAUUAAAUUAUGCAUGGAGGAAGAAAACUUCAGCGCAACUUAUGUAACCGUUCAGCCUUUCUUUGUCAAAAGCUCUUUCUCUGUCAAAAUUUUAAAUUUUUUUGAAUUUUUUUAUUGCUCAGCUCACUUUCUCCUCUCUUUCCUUCUGUGCCUUCCACCCGGACUGACAAAGAAUGUUAUGAAUACGUACUUCAAUAGUGAUUCACAGGCAAUUUACCCAUAUACAUAAAUUCACCAUUUACCUUUAUUACUUAAAUUUUACAGUGAUUUUCAUUUUAAUUUUAAUUUAUUCAAUAUUUUAAUUUAUAAAAUUAUUUUAUUAAAUGUUUUAAUUUACAAAAUAGAUUAAUUAAACACAUAUAAAAUAAUUAAAAUUUGUGAAAAUUAUUAUUCAACAAAUUUUAAACACUACUGUUAUUAAUAUGAAAAAGUAUUUAAUAUUAUCAAAAUUUAUAAAUUCAAAUAUACGAUAAAUCAUCAUAAAAUUCAAAAUAGUGAAACAAUCGUAAUUUUAUUUUCAAAAUUUUUAAAUUUUUAUUAAAUCAAACAUCAGAAAAUUUAACUGCGUGGGCUGAAAGUGCUGUGUAAUUUUUGUCCUUAACCGAAAAUUUUCUAAACUCUUUAAGAAUUAUUUUGGACAUUAAAUAUUAAAUUAAUUAAAAUAAAUUAGCUGAGCCCGUUUGAAAUUUUCGAAAAUCAAGUGAACCAAGUCAGACAGUUGAAUCAGACCAAACCAGUUCGAAUCGGAAUGAUAUAGAAACCCACCUACCUUCUUUCUUUUCCUCUCUUCUUCUUCUUCUUCUUCUUCUUCCUCAGCGCCAGAGCGCACGCUGCCCUUCCCUCCCCGUUUCCGGACACCGGGACCGAUCGAGCUCACCUUCUCGCCGUCGCAUCACCCCUGCGGUUGCUCCGACCUCCUUUCCCCUCUCUCCUUCGCUCCUGGCGAGCGCAGCAACUGUCGGAGGGGUCGCGAUUCAGCUCGACCAUGAAGUCCCGCCUCCAGCUCGGUUUUCCGGCGAUUUCAAGGCACGAGUCAGUGCGGCCGACUUCCUCUCCUAAUAAUGAGAAGUGAGUGUUUAAUUAUAAGAGUAGUUACUAAUUUGGUAAGGAUUGUUAAAAAGAAAAUAUUACUUUUUGCUAUAUAAUUUAUAAUAUUAUUUUCAUCCAUUCAAUUUUUACUAAAUAAAAAAAAAAAUUAUCUAUAUUUAUUAUGAAAAAUAAAGAAAAAUUUAAAAGUCAAAAAUGGAAAACGAAAAUAGUUACAACUAUCAACAUAAAUGGCAUGAUAAUGAUAUAGAAAUUGGUGUAAGAAUAUACCUUCUAGCUCAUCAACAUAAUGCGCCCAAAUAUUUUCCCCAUAAAGACGCUACCACAGCAUCAUAGCUUGACCAGGUCUGGAUCCAUGAGCUUGAACCCAUUUCUGGCAUAGUGGAUUCCCACAAUUAUUACUUGGAAAACUUGAACAUAAAAUUAUACAUAAAUUCUCAUGUUUGGAAUAUCAGAAUUCAUUUUGAAUUUCUAGCCUAGCUAGCUUGUACCACAGUUUAAAAU
rnacentral:lncRNA from 1 species